GGCUACAGGCACCCAUCCAGGCAACUUGAUACUGGAAACCACUUCACCUUUGGAUUCUCUUGCUCACUACCUCCGGCCAUGUCUCUUCUCCCAUGCCUCAUUCCUCUUCAACAGAGCUCGACAAUGAAGUCUUCCUCUUACAUCUAGAUCUGGAUUUGCUAGAAGUUGGUACAACACCACAAUAGAGAAGCGAGGAUCCGAGCAAUAUGGAAGAUGACGAUCAACGCAUUUCAGUGUGGCAUGUCGAUGGCAUUGAUUCAAAACUAGCAAGGCAGUUUGUUUCAAUGGAGGAAGCGUCCGCUCCCAGAUGCUACCCAUUCAUGGUUCAUCGGCAAUAACAUUCCCAGAUAUUGUAAUGAGAGCAAGCAAAUGGUGUGCUUAACUAUGGCGCUGUGGACAAGGUGCGUGGUAACAUGAAUCCAAUUUUAGUGAAUGGCCGUAUAGAAGAAGCAGAGUCCUCCAAUGGAUAUUCUGGAGCUCUAAUAAAAGAUUUUGGUGUAGAAAUUACCUGGCUGAGCAGAAUAGUUCAAGCGAUAAAUGUUUGACCAACACACACCUAUUUUGUUUGGUUAACCUGCGAUAAUGUAUCCUCUGCUGGCAAGUCCUAAACAUGGUGGCAAUAUCUCCACCAGAGGUUUCGUCGGCGAAGGGAUUGACAACCAGGAUCAAUCAGGGCAUCAUGUUACAGAAACUGUAGUAGGAUAACAUAACAAUUGUACUUUUUGGCCAAUGUUUUAUUGUCAAAAAAACCUGGAAUUCGUAUCAACAUUUGUUACCAACUAGGAUAACAUAACAAUUUUGAUUGUGAUAGGCUGUAAAGGUGCAACAAAACACAUUUAUCUUGUAUGCUGUUGUAAGCUACUUAGUGCCAAUCAUGCUGCCUUCUGAAGAAUGCUUCGAAUGGCAUUUGUUGAAUUGAACAUUACUUUGUACUUGUGCAGUGAAGUGAUAACAUUAUGAGUG